AUAAAUUGAUAAACAAAAA
rnacentral:misc_RNA from 1 species